rnacentral:tRNA from 1 species
AUUUUGGUGGCUGAGCUAGGCGAAUGAUUGUAAAUCAUUUCACGGAGGAAUACUCCCUAGAGUU